AGCAGCCGCGGUAAUUCCAGCUCCAAUAGCGUAUAUUAAAGUUGUUGCAGUUAAAAGCUCGUAGUUGAAUUUCGGGGUUAGUAGGUUGGUCAUGCCUCUGGUAUGUACUGGUCUCACUGAUUCCUCCUUCCUGAUGAACCUUAAUGCCAUUAAUUUGGUGUUUUGGGGAAUUGGACUGUUACUUUGAAAAAAUUAGAGUGUUUAAAGCAAGCUAACGCUUGAAUACGUUAGCAUGGAAUAAUGAAAUAGGACGUUCGAUCCUAUUUUGUUGGUUUCUAGGAUUGACGUAAUGAUUAAUAGGGAUAGUUGGGGGCAUUAGUAUUCAAUUGUCAGAGGUGAAAUUCUUGGAUUUAUUGAAGACUAACUACUGCGAAAGCAUUUGCCAAGGAUGUUUUCAUUAAUCAAGAACGAAAGUUAGGGGAUCGAAGACGAUCAGAUACCGUCGUAGUCUUGACCAUAAACUAUGCCGACUAGGGAUCGGAUGAUGUUAAUUUUUUAAUGACUCAUUCGGCGCCUUACG
rnacentral:rRNA from 1 species